GUAACGGCGAGUGAAGCGGUAACAGCUCAAAUUUGAAAUCUGGCUCUUUCAGGGUCCGAGUUGUAAUUUGUAGAAGAUGCUUUGGGUGUGGCCCCGGUCUAAGUUCCUUGGAACAGGACGUCAUAGAGGGUGAGAAUCCCGUAUGUGACUGGGUGCUUUCGCCCGUGUAAAGCUCUUUCGACGAGUCGAGUUGUUUGGGAAUGCAGCUCAAAAUGGGUGGUAAAUUUCAUCUAAAGCUAAAUAUUGGCCAGAGACCGAUAGCGCACAAGUAGAGUGAUCGAAAGAUGAAAAGCACUUUGGAAAGAGAGUUAAACAGUACGUGAAAUUGUUGAAAGGGAAGCGCUUGCAACCAGACUCGCAUGCCGUCGAUCAUCCUGGGUUCUCCCUGGUGCACUCGGCGGCGUUCGGGCCAGCAUCAGUUUCGGUGGUGGGAUAAAGGCCUUGGGAACGUAGCUCCUUUCGGGGAGUGUUAUAGCCCUCGGUGCAAUGCCGCCUACCGGGACUGAGGACCGCGCUUCGGCUAGGAUGCUGGCGUAAUGGUUGUAAGCGACCCGUCUUGAAACACGGACCAAGGAGUCUAACAUCUAUGCGAGUAUUUUGGGUGUUAAACCCAUAUGCGUAAUGAAAGUGAACGGAGGUGAGAACCCUUAAGGGUGCAUCAUCGACCGAUCCUGAUGUCUUCGGAUGGAUUUGAGUAAGAGCAUAGCUGUUGGGACCCGAAAGAUGGUGAACUAUGCCUAAAUAGGGUGAAGCCAGAGGAAACUCUGGUGGAGGCUCGCAGCGGUUCUGACGUGCAAAUCGAUCGUCAAAUUUGGGUAUAGGGGCGAAA
rnacentral:rRNA from 1 species